rnacentral:rRNA from 1 species
AGUGAACGCUGGCGGUAGACCUAACACAUGCAAGUCGAACGGCAGCACAGUAAGAGCUUGCUCUUACGGGUGGCGAGUGGCGGACGGGUGAGGAAUACAUCGGAAUCUACUUUUUCGUGGGGGAUAACGUAGGGAAACUUACGCUAAUACCGCAUACGACCUACGGGUGAAAGCAGGGGAUCUUCGGACCUUGCGCGAUUGAAUGAGCCGAUGUCGGAUUAGCUAGUUGGCGGGGUAAAGGCCCACCAAGGCGACGAUCCGUAGCUGGUCUGAGAGGAUGAUCAGCCACACUGGAACUGAGACACGGUCCAGACUCCUACGGGAGGCAGCAGUGGGGAAUAUUGGACAAUGGGCGCAAGCCUGAUCCAGCCAUACCGCGUGGGUGAAGAAGGCCUUCGGGUUGUAAAGCCCUUUUGUUGGGAAAGAAAAGCGGCAGGUUAAUACCCCGCUGUUCUGACGGUACCCAAAGAAUAAGCACCGGCUAACUUCGUG